rfam:Aspergillus carbonarius ITEM 5010 unplaced genomic scaffold ASPCAscaffold_1, whole genome shotgun sequence.
AGCAUGUUAGCUCAGGGGAAGAGCGCCGGGCUCAUAACCCGGAGGUACGUCUCACUUCACUGUUCUUCCGCCGAAUUACAUCACUAACAAACAAAUCAGGUCCCUGGAUCGAAACCAGGACAUGCUA